AAAUAAUAUAAAGUAAAAAUUCUAGAGAAAUUUCUUUUUUCUUCAUUAACAGCUUUAAUAUUUUAUGAAAUAAUAGCUCUUUCAAUUUCACCCACAAGAGUUUUUAAGUUUCGCGUUUUGUGAGCUGAAAAAUAUUCUCUUAACCUAAUUAAUCUACACAAAAAAAUUAAAUAAUACCUUUAUUCUCUUUAUUAGAAAAUCAUGUCAGAAUUUCAUUGUGCUAAUUUUAAUUUAUUAUUUUAUUCGAAUUGUUUGUUUUUAAAUAUGUCAUUAAAAAUGUAAUUUACCAGAAUGGCCACUUUACUGGAAUACCUAAAAUUAUGAUUGAAUUUUUUUUUAAUUUUGGUUUAAAUAGUUACUAAAUGAUAUUAAUGCACUUAAUUAAGAUAGAAAAUAUUCAUUUAGUGUCAUCUUGAUAAUUUUUAAAUUGUGUUUGUAAUUUUGUUCUAUGUUCUUUCAGGUGUAGUAUUUCUUCGUCGAUUACUAGUAGAAAAUCAACUGCAAUUGAUGUCAACUUAUAGAUGGAAAUUCUGUUCUUUAAAAUUUUAUUGAUUAUUAUGGCAUUUUUCCGAAGCAGAUGAAGUGCAGCUUCUGUCCGUAUAUUACUUGGAAGAAAAGCAAUUUAGUAGUGCACACCAGAAAACAUACAGGAGAAAAACCUUUCAUUUGUACUCACUGUUCUAAAAGAUUUUCUCAAAAAGUGCAUCUUCAGAAACACAUAUUCACUGUACAUUGUUAAUAUACAAUUUUAUCACAUUAUUGGAAAAAAUAUUUUUCAAAUAUCACACACAGGUUUUUAAGAAAUAAAGGGCUCAAGGUAAUAUAGUUACCAACGGUGACAUGUUUCAUCAAACUGUUCUUUAGUAUUGUUUUCAGGUGAACACUUCCUAAGUUUCUCAUUAGUCCUUCUUUAUAAGUCUCCAUUAUAUAAAAGCACAAUAGACCAAAACAUCUUAUUGCCUUUGUGUAAAUUGUGGUGUUUUUCACCAAAACACUCACCUGAAUAUUUUGAAAAUGUUGCUUAUUGUUAUGUUGCUCCCAGCCCUUCAAUUAAACAUCUAUAAUUUUUACUAAGAAAAAGUCACACUAAUAAAAUUGUGUAUGAAUUA